UCUUUAUGGAUAACUCAAAUUCCACACCUAUUAUUGAAUUUUUUGCACCUUCGGAGACCAGCCAUAGACCAUGGGAGUCAACAAGUCCUUUCUUUGCCCCUAAUUAUGAUCUGUGUCCGGAGUUGAUUGCAAUAGGUCAAAACCAACCCUUUUCUAUAGCCGAGGUCCUAUCUUUUAAUCAAGAAGAUAAUGAACUUUUAGCUACACCUUGGGAAUCUUUUAAUCUUUCUAUAAAUU
rnacentral:lncRNA from 1 species